rnacentral:rRNA from 1 species
GCGUAACGCGUGGGAAUCUGCCUUUGGUACGGAAUAACUCAGGGAAACUUGAGCUAAUACCGUAUGAUGUCUUCGGACCAAAGAUUUAUCGCCAAAGGAUGAGCCCGCGUUGGAUUAGCUAGUUGGUGGGGUAAAGGCCUACCAAGGCGACGAUCCAUAGCUGGUCUGAGAGGAUGAUCAGCCACACUGGGACUGAGACACGGCCCAGACUCCUACGGGAGGCAGCAGUGGGGAAUAUUGGACAAUGGGCGCAAGCCUGAUCCAGCAAUGCCGCGUGAGUGAUGAAGGCCUUAGGGUUGUAA